rnacentral:rRNA from 1 species
UACGUAGGUGGCAAGCGUUAUCCGGAAUUAUUGGGCGUAAAGCGCGCGUAGGCGGUUUUUUAAGUCUGAUGUGAAAGCCCACGGCUCAACCGUGGAGGGUCAUUGGAAACUGGAAAACUUGAGUGCAGAAGAGGAAAGUGGAAUUCCAUGUGUAGCGGUGAAAUGCGCAGAGAUAUGGAGGAACACCAGUGGCGAAGGCGACUUUCUGGUCUGUAACUGACGCUGAUGUGCGAAAGCGUGGGGAUCAAACAGGAUUAGAU